rnacentral:rRNA from 1 species
GAUGAACGCUGGCGGCGUGCCUAAUACAUGCAAGUCGAGCGAACGGACGAGAAGCUUGCUCUUCUGAUGUUAGCGGCGGACGGGUGAGUAACACGUGGAUAACCUACCUAUAAGACUGGGAUAACUUCGGGAAACCGGAGCUAAUACCGGAUAAUAUUUUGAACCGCAUGGUUCAAAAGUGAAAGACGGUUUUGCUGUCACUUAUAGAUGGAUCCGCGCUGCAUUAGCUAGUUGGUAAGGUAACGGCUUACCAAGGCAACGAUGCGUAGCCGACCUGAGAGGGUGAUCGGCCACACUGGAACUGAGACACGGUCCAGACUCCUACGGGAGGCAGCAGUAGGGAAUCUUCCGCAAUGGGCGAAAGCCUGACGGAGCAACGCCGCGUGAGUGAUGAAGGUCUUCGGAUCGUAAAACUCUGUUAUUAGGGAAGAACAUAUGUGUAAGUAACUGUGCACAUCUUGACGGUACCUAAUCAGAAAGCCACGGCUAACUACGUG